GCGGUCGUAGCGGAAUGGCAGACGCGCUAGGUUGAGGGCCUAGUGGGAGAAAUCCCGUGGAGGUUCAAGUCCUCUCGGCCGCAUCA
rnacentral:tRNA from 1 species